rnacentral:rRNA from 1 species
UCGAUGAAGAACGCAGCGAAAUGCGAUAAGUAAUGUGAAUUGCAGAUUUUCAGUGAAUCAUCGAAUCUUUGAACGCACCUUGCGCUCCUUGGUAUUCCGAGGAGCAUGCCUGUUUGAGUGUCAUUAAAUUCUCAACUCCAAGGGUUUCACGACCUUUCGGAGAUUGGACUUGGAGGUGCUGGCCGCAUAUUGGUCGGCUCCUCUCAAAUGCAUCAGCGGAAUCUAACGUUUCGGACGUCAGUGUGAUAAUCAUGUUGCGCUGUCUGUCUGAUCUGAAAGCCCGCUCACAAUGGUCUUCGGACAACUUCAUAUCAAAUUUGACCUCAAAUCAGGUAGGACUACCCGCUGAACUUAA